AUAAUUUGGUUUACUAACAAAGAUCAAAUUACAGAAUUUCGAUAAACCCACCAACAGCGGAGAUACUUAGUCUUUUUCCCGGGAAAAUGCCAAGGGUGAACCGUGAGAUACAGAACCUGGCAGGGUUCGGGGCUUAGUUUUUAUACACUUUAUUCUGCCCUCGGCAAUAUUUCCCCAUAUUUCCCUUUGUUUCCCGGCUAGCUAUUCAAAUUCAAGGGUGUCUCCACCAGGCUGAAAAGAGUUCUUUCUCUCAGUUCAUAUGUUAAUGUCCAGUUUCUAUAGAUCCUUAGGGCUGAUGAAUGGUCGAGAUAUGGAUGAAGAUGCCUGAUGAUCUGUGAGGGUGUCUUGAUGGGUCUCCUCCUGGUGCUCGAGGAUGCUGCCGGUUUCCUGUAAACCUAUUGUCUCUUUCUGAAUGUGAGUUUCUCGGGUGAAGCCUGCCUUUUCAACAUUUGGUUUAGCCAAAUGUUACAAGGUGUCCUGAAACUUACAUUUUCAUAUAACACACACAGAUAUACAGUUUUAUAGUUUUCAAUAAUAUUUCAUUAACUAUAAGAACAUGAAUUAAUCAUUUCACAUUUUUCACAUGCCCUUAGAAAAAACAGAAAUAUGUAGGAAUGCAAGGAUGCUUGAUAAGAAGGAGAGUGUUUACCCAAAGCAGGAGACAAGAAUGCAAGUGAACCAAAGAUACUAAGAUAACAGGCGCCUUGCACCCCCGGGUGUUGGUGGAGGGUUAAAAAAUAUAAUUUCUGGGUUGAGGUAUGUGUAGGGGGAGGAAAGUAGAGAACGUACAACUGGAACUUGACGCAGCUAGCUCGGAACAAGCGUCAGCUUCUGCAAACAGCUCCAUGCUAUUGUAAUGACCGAAUGAAGUGUGACUGCAACUCAGGGGAUAAUUGAGAAGCAUUGUUUUAACCAAAUCAAGUGUGGAUCAGGGUAGAAGCGUAGGUAUGAUUUAAGAUAGUAACUAAGGAAUAGGAUAAUCAGUAUCUAGGGGUGGGGGUUAGUUAACAUGUGUAUAAUUUAAACUAUAAAAAUCACGAAUCGACUCUGUAUCCUUUGGACAUCAGAUUUGGGUGUAUUAUCACCCCUGUGUCCCGCGCGCUUGAAUAAAGAACCGCAUAUGAUCGCCUUCGUGUGGUUAUAUGUUUUCCUACGCUAACAUUUUUGGCGACCCAGGACGGGACCUUGUGGGCUCAGCCAGGACCCCGCGACCCGAUCACGCUCCAGCCGGCACCGGGUGAUUUCUCGGGGAGCCCAUCGGAGCCGCGACCCUCGCCGCUCACAACGACCCCUGGUGAGAGGGAAACAAGAUGUGUAUAAUUAUGUUCUGUCCCUCGGGAAAACUCUAGCUCGGCUUCGAAGUGUUCUCGUGUGGAACAGACCACUGGCCCUGGAGAAUCCAGUCCACAAUAUCGAACCAGGAGAUGAGGUAUACAUCAAAACCUGGAACGAAGAACCACUAAAAGAGAAGUGGACUGGUCCCCAUCAGGUACUGCUAACCACCUUUACAGCAGUCAAAGUGGCUGGAGUGGAACCCUGGAUACACUACACACGUGUGAAGAAGGUCCCUUGUGGAGUCCAGUCGUGGGCUGUAGAAACUUUUGGACCAACAAAGCUGAGGCUGAAACGUCUGUAACUGUUCAAAUUGUAUUGGUAACUGUGCUCAUGCUCUUCCUAUGGGUAAUGUUAAUUUCAUGGAUACUAAUGUCACCAGUAGGGAUUGCUGUUACUUUGGGAUAUGGGAUACAGAAGGGUCAACUAACAACUCUUCAUUUUAGAAUGAAGAGAGAGAUACAGGCAAAGACACAAAUAAUAGAAAUUUCUAAUGAAAUUCGGGCUGAGAAUGUAAUGAUUGGAUUGGUCAGAGACUUUGCCAAAAUGCAUAAUACCAGCAGAAUAACGGCCUGUCUGCCAAUACCAAAGGCAGCAGGGGACCCAGUAAGCUGGGGAAUAAUAACGUCAAAAUUACCUGAAAUAGGAGGGAACAAAACAAUUAACUGUAAACAAGUACCAGAGUCAAGGGUGGUGGUCAGAGAAUACUGGAAGAUAACAGAGAAUUCCUAUAUGCAACCCAUGAGAAAGUCAGAGUGCAUUCUUAGUAAUGGCAAAUUGGGACAAAUCAUAGAGUGGUGGGUUAAGGACCAAGACCUUGCAAAAUGGCAAUGUUGGUUUCUACACUAUCAAAAGAUCAGGGACAACGCUACAGAAAGUGUUGUGGUGUGGAAAUGUGAAGAGAAGGAUUGGAAAGGACUGGAACCUUGGGACAGUGCAUGGUCUGUGAGCAUCCUCCAGAAAUUCCAAUAUAUGGAAAGCACACCCUGGUGCAUUAAAUGGAAAGGCUCUGAAAAUGAGACAGAUCCCACAGUGACGAAUACUGAUACUAGCAGUCAGAAAGAGGCAAAUAAGGUAAGUUGGUGGGUAUGUAAGAAAAUUUAUGAUUGCACCUCUGAUAAUCUGGAAAUGAAACAGUGGUCACCAUUGGCAAUAGCCUUACGAAUUGGUUGUGCCUGCAGGAAAAUUAAACACAAACAAGGCAAAAUAGAUUCUAAGAUUAUAGUAGGAUGUAGCAGGAGUACAAUUCGAAGUUCAGGACCAUUUGUAUGGGCAAUGAGUGAUGGCACAUGGACAACACACUUGCCUAUGGACGGGGAGGUAAGAGAAAUCACCCUGGGCCUUCCCACUUUAUGUCCAAUUUGGAAGAAAUCCCCAUUUAACGGGAGCAGUGAAGCCUUGCAAAUAAAAGCAAAGCGAGACGUCUCAGAAGACAAGAACCCAGAUGACACUUGGAAGGAACCCUCUAGUGGAGUAAAGAUUGGGUGGGCCCUAGAAUCCUUGUUUGGGCCCAUUGCAAAUUAUCGAAAUAGAGAAAUGCUAUAUAGACUCACAGGUCAGGUAGACAGAUUAGCAAGAAUCACACGAGAGGGAUUUAGGGAACUCAAUGUGCAAUUACAGGCCACCACCAAAAUGACCCUGCAAAAUCGUUUGGCUUUAGAUAUGUUACUUUUGAAAGAACACGGAGUGUGUGGAUAUUUAAAGGGACAAAUCGACCAUUGCUGCAUCCACAUCCCAAAUGUAACUGCAGAUGUAGAACAUGACAUCAGCCAGUUAAAACAAAUAGAGCAUGAGGCACAAAAGGAACAAAAGGAUUUAGCUACUAGCUGGUUGGGUAAAAUCUUUGAAGGAUUAGGAUGGAAUGUGAGUUCAUGGAUAAAGUCUAUCCUUGAAAAUCUGAUAAUUUUACUGAUUAUAUUUUUAGUAAUUUGGUUAGUUUACAGAAUCCUGAAGAGAGAGAUACAGAAAAAGGCAUCUUGGAACAGGACCAUAA